GCACCAGGGCUUGGUACUGCCUCAAUAUUCUGCAGUUUACGGCCAUUCUAGACCCAUAAUUUCCAUGAUUCCUCUGUGAAAUGUAGAGAAGAACUGAUGACACUUCACAGACUGGGGAAACCAAAAUACACCUGUAAGACUGGAUUUCAUACCAUUAAGGACCAACAAAUUUCCCUUUUACCUCUUACCACCGAUGGUCACCAUUUACUCAGUACAACUGUCACCAUUUUCUUGACUACCAAUGGACAUUAUUGUGUGAGUGGCUUUUUUACAUGUCUGGAUGGACCGAAGGCCCUUGUGUGGGCAGGCACUGAUCUGUCUCAUUUACCACUGUAGCCCCGCUAUCCAACAAAGAACCUGACACUUGCAAGGAGCUCAGCAAUCUUCAUGUAAGCAAAGAGUGAAGAAUACUAGUGGGAGGAAGUGUGAGUGCUCGUGGCGUGAUGUUCAGCAAGGCGUGCCACUCACUGCCGCCCUCACGUCUGAACUCCUGAGCAGUCCCACGGGGCGAGGGCAAAAUGAACCUUGUUUCCUUUCCUCCUCCUGCCAAAGUCCGAAAGUCACAUUCUGCAGACUUUCAGGAAAUUUGACUUGCUCACUUCAGUAGGGUUCAAUGCAGCAAUUUCUGGGUGGAAGUGGAGUUGGGGGAAGGGCACGCUGGCACUGAGGCAGGUGGGCUCUGAGCAGUGUAGGCUGGUGAGCCAGGCUGAGGGCCACCUCCUUGCUCAGUGCCAGCAGAGCCCACGCUCACCAAAUGUCCAUGGUUCCGAAGCACCUUGGUGAAGGAUGACACCAGUGGGCUCUGGUGCCUGAGGGUGUGGCCAGGGUGGGCUGAAUCAGUGGCAUGGCAGCUUCCCUCUGGCAGGGUCCUGCCAACUACCAGCCUCCCUGCUCCUGAGGAAGCAGAACCAGGGGAGGUGUGGUCCAGGCUGCCCUGCUAUCUCCUGCGGUUCAUCCCAGCCAUCCAGGAGGAGAAGGGGUGUGUGUGAGGGGAGCAGCAGCACAGAAAUAGCCUGCAGUGUUUAGAAGGGAGGACCCCAAGGAAGUGCCCAGGCUAAUCGACCAAAAACUCCUGCUGGGACAUUGCUCUUGCUUCCAGUUGCUUCGGUCUGCCUCUCAUCUCAACUCUGGCUACAGAAAUAUGUGUGUCCCUUCGCAAGCUCGCUGUUUUAUUUUUAAAAGUAUUCUGCUCUACUGUGAGCCAUGAACAGAAGCUCCCCUUGUGGAACAAAGAGUUAAUCUCCCUGCAGUGGCAUCCUGUCAGCCCCUCGGAACCUGUGUCAGCGUUCUCCUUCCCGCUCCCCCUGUGGACUGCCUCUGGCUCACUCGCUGCACACAAAGGCUCCUCUGUUUCUGGCCGGGCUGGAGUCACAUGCUUUCACUCUUAACCCCGGAGCUUUAAAGCUAAACACCCACCCUCUUUGGCCCCAGAUGACCCUGUUUACGUCUGCUGAGCCAAUUCCAAACAGCAACAGUAGUGAAAACUUCUGUCGGGAGAGACUUCUCAACUACUGGUGUAGAGAGAACAAAUCUUCACUUUGUAUAAUGCGAGGACUUUAAGAAGUUUUGGGAAAUGGCUGAGAGGAAAAAAACACAAGGAAGCCAGCAGCCUGCCCCAACUUCUCUAUUUUCUAAAGUAUCUCUUACCAGAGACCCCCGGUGGGGCUCGGGAUAAAGCUUGCAAGAAACAGAAAAUGCAAGGGCUGGUGGCAUGGUGCCACACCUACGGCAAGGAGAACUGAGGAAUAUGGUCCCUGUCUGGGCAGCCACUUCCCUGCAUCACCUGCACACUAUGGAAGGAAGCAUGAUAAGUGGACUGCUAACCAUCUCUGGAUACAAGGGUAGCCGGCUCCACGCACUGACCGCAGCUCUGAGGCUGACACUUCCCUGAAGACCCAGAGUGUGGAUCGUCAGUCAGG
rnacentral:lncRNA from 1 species